CCCUGAGCCUCCCCCCUUUAUAAACUGUUGUAAACUCAUUGCCGCCACUCUUCGGUGUCUGCUGCCUUGAAGUUUGUUUUGUUGUAACACCUUGAUACUUGUCUCUCCGAGGAGGAAUAAACAUCUUGGAACUUUACCACCAGAGAGUCCAUCUCUCUCUUUGUAUCACUCAGCAACAACUAUGAACCUGUCAGGUUGUCCACUUUUGGCCAGGCCAGGUGGAAGGAGAGGUUCCAAACUGCAUCCCUCAGCCCAGCUAAGGAGCUCAGUGACACCGCUUGGAGGAAAAGGGCUGAGCAGCUACCCCCUCAUGAGGCUCGCCCUUUCUCCCAGGAUCCAGGUGUGGCGGCAGAGUAUGUAUGAUAAUGUCAUAGUACAACAAGACACCCGCUGCACAAGCAAGUGCGGUAAAAAAAUGGCAAGGGGGGAAAAAUGUUGCUUUUGUAUUGGCUGUUUGUGUACUUGAUGAUCAGAAUAUAAGAUUUCCAAAUGUUCUGGAAACAAUCAACCAAAUGGCCACUCAUAGAACAGAAAGAAACUAUGUCUCUGCCAACAGUCUCCAGGAAAUGCAGCAAUCUAAAAUCUUUUGCACAGCUUGAAUUGUGACCCCACCCCUUUUUUCCCACUAUCCACAGUAUGGAUCAGGAUUUCAGAAAGCAUCUAUAAAGUUCCAUGUCCCAAGUCAAAGAAUGAGACACGACUGUAAAACACAAAUGAUCAAGUUUGUCUACUGGACUUUGGCUGAGAGACUUUAUAAACGUUUUGUAGUGGCACCUGUACUGCUGCUCUCUGUAUCUCAAAAAGGCUUUCCUGGCAACAGAAUAAGCACAAAGAGGGUAACUGACAUGAUGAAGGGCUUCUCACCUCCUCAAACAGAGAAAUGAAAACAACUGUGCACCCCUCGCUUUGUGGAGAAGAAGAACGAGGUGAGAGCAUGGUUUCAAAUUCAUUAAUGAAAUGGGUAAGAUGAACAUGGAACAGUUACCUAAUUAUCUGAUACUAUAAUUAGAGAAUAUCCAUUGAGACUACCAGGAGAUCCACUUAAAAUAGGUGAAAGAAUAUAUUUCUUGGCACAGUGGGCAGAAAUUUUCUGGAAUCUUUUUCUAGGAGAGAUUGUGGAGGUAGACGGAAUCAGCUGCUUCUAAAAGGGAUUUUAAAAAACUCCCAGACACAAGCUUAUAAACUAGAUGAUGAAGAGACCAGUCAGGAUCAUUAAUCCGGUGACUGUGGAGAAGCAUAAGAAAAAUAAAUAUCAGGUUUUUGUCAGAUUUUUGUGCCUUGCCUAAGCAUCAUCUUAUUGCACUGAACUUGGUGGACCAUGUGAUCUGAUCUAGAGAAACAUUUUUUAUGUUCUCAUACAAUUUCAACAUGCUAAGGCUUAUUCUUAGUCAUCUUAAGGGAUUGAGUUCUGCUUCUGCUUAAAUAUUUCUCUGACAUCUAUCUGCAAAACAUGCAUCCCCAAUCAAAACUAAGGACACUAGCAAUCAGCUGGGAAUCAAAUAAUGUUUCUAACUUAUGCAGUGAUUUGAUAAGUGAAAUCAUGAUAGGAAACAAACUUUCCAGGCCCUUGGUAUUCAAGUCUUCCUAUAAAUAAUUCAGGAAGAAAUCAUAUGAGAAAUGUAAGAAAUGUGGCUGCAUUUUUUUCAUUAUUGAAACAUUCACUUUUGUAAUUCCUGCUCUUUAGGACAUUCCACACUUUUAAGAGUUUAAAUAACAUUUAUGCAUGCUUUUCCUUAUAGUGUAAGGGGCAAACCAUUGACAGAAAGAGAAAUCAUUAAUGUAGGCACAUUAAAAUAUCUUCAUUUAAAAGCCAACAAAACCAGAAAUGAAAACAAAAAAUAUUUUAGACUGCAGAUUAUAAAAUACUGCAAAUUGCUAUAUAUAUCAAGAAUUUCUUUUUCCUCUACUGAGCAUAGAUAUAUUUACCAAAUUUAUUGAAUAUAUUUACUACUUUUAUGUUAAAUACAAACUGAAAAACAAGACCAUUAUUGUAUUGUUACUUUUAUGAUUAUUAAUAUUUAAAAAUUCUUAAAAAAAAACCCCAACCUAAGAAUUCUUUCCCAGAUAAAUCCCUUAUCCUUCAUCACAUCUAUUCUACCAUUCUUUGGAACGUUUUUGCAGAGAAUCAGUCUCCUUCUCUGAAGGUCUUAAGAGUGUUGUUGUCCCCACAGUGUCUUUUCAGAAACAUUGAUCUCUGUAGCUCUUGCUGACUUUGCUUUCCAUCUAAAUACUGAUUCUCUCCUUUGCAUUUCCUCUAGAAUCUUGGUUUAUCCCAAGUUUUCCCACCUCCAUAGCUGUUACCUACCACACUGAGUCACUGCAGAGCUGGAGAAAGAUGCAAAUAAGCCUUUGUGCCAGCUUCCUCUUAUCAGCUCAGCCAAAGUAAGGCUGAAUGCCAGAAAAACAAGAAACAGGAGGCAAGCAGGAUAAAAGACUGGAACUGUGGGCAGAAUACUAAAUAUCUGAAGCCAAGAAGGUAGAGAAAAACUACAACUACCCACACCUUAAUUUGUCUUUUCCCAUUUUCUCAUAGCCAUUUGUAUAUUUUUUUAAUUCCAAUCUAAUGAAUGCUUUGUAACACUGGAGGACCCAAAUAAUGUGUUGCUCUUUUUUAGUUCUUUUUCUGCAACCCAUAGGUCAGGAAAGAAAAUAUUAUUGGGGAUGAAGGAAAAAAAGGAACCUUGUUAUAUUAUGCAGAAGCAAAACCAACAGGUGAAAGUUCAAGUACUUCAUUAUCAAAGCAAUGAUACAGACAUCCUUCCAUACUUUUGCUGCCUUUCCAGUAUCCAUGUCCAUGGACAGAAUUUUCUCUUAUUCUGAACUCAAAUUCAAUUAGAACUGGAAUGAAUCUCGAGGUUUUUCUAGCUCCUAACCUCUGAACUCUUCAAAUGAGGGACAAAGAGGCCCUACAAGCUAAGACUUUUUCUGCUGCCCUUAGGAGCAAUGAUCCAUAACAGUUACAUAGCAAGAUCCAUGCUUGCUCCUAACAACUCAAUUUCAUUGGAAAUUUUAUUUUAUGAACUUUGUCUACAUUUCUUCUCUUUCCCUGCAUGGAACUCCUCAUGCUGACAAUAGCUCACUCCACUCAAAGCAUCCAGCUGUUCAUAAGAAACCCAAUGGAAAAGACAAGGCUUUAGCUGCAACCUGGUGUCAAUAUGUGCUAGAUUUAUUCUUAGGCCUGAUACAGAGGAUACAUGGAAUUUGCAUUGAUGUGAAUGGGAGCAGAAAUUAUUAAAAGUGGUUUUGUAUAUCUGUGAGAACAUAUUUCAAAUAAUAACUCAACUGUUAUAUUUUUUUUUACAAAGCAAAAUUUAAUUGAAGAAGACUAUAUCAACAAAUUUUGUACAAAAGUAUGCUAGACUACAAAAAUAUGUAUUUAUUAUGUAAGAUGAAAGCAUGGCAAGAAAUUCUUCUGAACAGCUUCAUGUCAAUAAAGUUCUGGUGCCUGUGUCCUUCCACAGCUGUCAGAACAGCAGAAUUGCCCUGUCUCACACACAGAGACACACAGAUUCCUUGUGGCACAGCAUGCUUUAAAGGAAUGUGACUUGGUGUACAGAGUGGAAAAGAGUCAUGGGGUCAGAGUGGUAACAAUUAUUCUUUGACGAAUCCUUGUUAAUUUCAGAUGCACUGCAUCCCAGUCAGCUGCAUUUUAGGAGAAAAUCAGAAAUGUGUUGGAUAUUUCCCAAGGCAGGUAAAAGGUUGAGUUCAGUUUUGUCUUGCUGAGGUACUGAAAUUCACAGCGGUGCUGACAGGGAUAAAUGCUCUGCCUGGAAAAUGACAGACCACACAGAGAUGUAUUUGCCAUUAGAAUUAUCCAACUGAUCAUUUGUUAAGUGUGAAGUGUGCCCACCUACUUCUAAAUAUCAACAACACAUUUAUGAAAAAUGGAAAUGUGUCUGGUUUUAUGUCAGUGUUUCAUUUUCCAUAGAGAUUAGAGUAAACAGCACCAUAAACACAAGUAUCCUUUGCAGGGUUCAUUGUUAGUAAUUUAAGGUAUGGCAUCUAAAAUUGUAGAAACUAGUGAAAUAUGAUUAAUAUUAUAUAACUAGCAAAACUAGUUUCUGAAAGAGUAGUUUUCAUUCUCUUCCAAAAUAAUAAACAUAUUUUGUAUGUCCUUACAUAGUUGUUUAUUAAAUUAAAAACACAGUGUGUGUGAAAAUUUAAUGGAGUGAGUAAUUUUUUUCCCCUACUUGUAAUGAUUCAUCAUCAGGAUCUAAUAGAACACAACUUUCAUCUCUCCCAGGAGAUUUCUCACUCUUUACACUUGCAAAUACCAGUAUAUUAAACUUCUCAAUUGUGGAGGAGUGCAGGCUAUGCUGUACAGGAACAAAAGGAUUCCUGCCAGUUGUGACAUGAGGAUUUAUCAUAUCACUUUCAUAAGAUGUAGUAAAAAAAUCUUCAAGAAGAAUAAAAUGAGAGUAAAGGAACUUGUUUCUCCUCUGAUUCCAGAGGCACAAAAUUUCCACAAAACCUCUUUCUUCAUUUUCCAAAUAAUAAAAUACAAAAGCAUGAGAUUUUUGCAAUACAUCACAGAAUUCUUACACUGGUGGCUUUUCAGUUAUUUCUGAGACUUUCUGAUCAUGAAGUAUCAUGGGC